GUAGUCCACGCCCUAAACGAUGAGUACUAAGUGUAGCCGUAAGGCUGUGCUGAAGUUAACGCAUUAAGUACUCCGCCUGAGUAGUACGUACGCAAGUAUGAAACUUAAAGGAAUUGACGGGAGCCCGCACAAGCGGUGGAGCAUGUUGUUUAAUUCGACGAUACGCGAAGAACCUUACCAGGUCUUGACAUCCUCUGCAAAGCCAUAGAGAUAUGGUGGAGGUUAGCAGAGAGACAGGUGGUGCAUGGUUGUCGUCAGCUCGUGUCGUGAGAUGUUGGGUUAAGUCCCGCAACGAGCGCAACCCUUGCCUUUAGUUGCCAGCAUUAAGUUGGGCACUCUAGAGGGACUGCCAGGGAUAACCUGGAGGAAGGUGGGGAUGACGUCAAAUCAUCAUGCCCCUUAUGCUUAGGGCUACACACGUGCUACAAUGGGUGGUACAGAGGGCAGCCAAGUCGUGAGGCGGAGCUAAUCCCUUAAAGCCAUUCUCAGUUCGGAUUGUAGGCUGAAACUCGCCUACAUGAAGCUGGAGUUACUAGUAAUCGCAGAUCAGAAUGCUGCGGUGAAUGCGUUCCCGGGUCUUGUACACACCGCCCGUCACACCACGGAAGUUGGGGGCGCCCGAAGCCGGAUUGCUAACCUUUUGGAAGCGGCCGUCGAAGGUGAAACCAAUAACUGGGGUG
rnacentral:rRNA from 1 species